rnacentral:rRNA from 1 species
AGAGUUUGAUCCUGGCUCAGGAUGAACGCUGGCGGCGUGCCUAACACAUGCAAGUCGAACGGACUUUUCAUGAAGCCUAGCGAUUGAAAAGUUAGUGGCGGACGGGUGAGUAACGCGUGGGUAACCUGCCUUGUACUGGGGGACAACAGUUGGAAACGACUGCUAAUACCGCAUAAGCGCACAGCUUCGCAUGAAGCAGUGUGAAAAACUCCGGUGGUACAAGAUGGACCCGNGUCUGAUUAGCUGGUUGGUGAGGUAACGGCCACCAAGGCGACGAUCAGUAGCCGGCCUGAGAGGGUGAACGGCCACAUUGGGACUGAGACACGGCCCAAAUCCUACGGAGGCA